GACGGAGGGUGCUAGCGUUGUUCGGAAUCACUGGGCGUAAAGGGCGCGUAGGCGGCCUCAGGUGUCGGAUGUGAAAGCCCGGGGCUCAACCCCGGAGGUGCAUCCGAAACUCUGGGGCUGGAGGUCGGAAGAGGAGGGUGGAAUACCCAGUGUAGAGGUGAAAUUCGUAGAUAUUGGGUGGAACACCGGUGGCGAAAGCGGCUCUCUGGUCCGGACCUGACGCUGAGGCGCGAAAGCGUGGGGGGCAAACAGG
rnacentral:rRNA from 1 species